rnacentral:tRNA from 1 species
GCCCCCGUGGCGGAAUUGGUAGACGCGCUUGACUCAAAAUCAAGUGUCCUUUGGGCGUGCCCGUUCGAGUCGGGCCGGGGGCA